GUUUUAUUUUCACUUAGGAUAAAGGCAAAUUUCUGGACAGACCUUUGGAGAAUAUUGGGAAAACAGAAUCUUCCACCUGGCAACCCCAGGAGUCUCAGCAAGGCUGUGGUGUUAGGAGGACUGAAGAGAGGGAGUGCAGCAUGUGACUGGGGAGGCCCUUGGCCUUUGCACUUUGGUUUCACAGAGGUAUAGUCAGCACAGCACAGACAAGGCUGCUGACACUGCACCGUAGCUGGAGCUCUGGGAGCUGAUGAAGCUGGAGCUGCUUCCCAUGCAGGAUCAGUCACACAAGAAGAACUGGAGUUGAACAUGGGCUGUGCACUGGAGUGGCACUGUGGAGGGCCCUUUAAAGACAUUGGCAUUACCGGUGGUGUUUUGGGACAAGGAGGCAGAAGAAUGUCAGGAAUGACCCAGCACGUGCCUGGUUGUGCAAGAGCCACCUCCUGCUCUUCUCAGAG
rnacentral:lncRNA from 1 species